CUUUGCUCUGGCAGCGGCUGUGACGUCAAAGGGCUGCCCAGUUUCGCGGUAUGACGCUGCUAUGCGCAAGCUGCUCCGUCUUGGGACCCUGCUGCCAGUUCGCACAGGCGCCAGUUGGCUGACCUGCAAACAAUCGCCACCUGGUCAGAAUGGUACCUUGAAAAUCUUUGAUAAUUACGAGAAUAAGGAGCAUGUGCUGCAGGGGCCGUGUUGGUGACACCUUCCCUGGUCGGUGGUCAGUCUUAUGUUUGAUUAUGAGUGCUGUUCCACACCUCCAAACUAGCAGGAGCCCCAUUUGUGCGAUGCAGCUGUAAUGAUGAUUCUUUAAGAAUACAGCAACGCAUCAAAGGCUUACUUGCGGGCUUCUAUAAGCAAAUGCUCACAGGACAUCGUGCAUCUUGUGGCAUACUCUGUGGAAUCAGGAGGUAACUGCCAUUGGCUCGGCAAAAGCCAAAGACAUUGGGACAAUUAUGCAAAUUCGACAGAGAAUUUCUUUUUGUCUCAUUCUCACCUUCUGCAAGGGGCGUCCAGCGCUUGAUCCAAGGUAGCAGAGAGUUGAUGCAAUUUGAAACGAAGACGACAUCGUGCACGAUUGGUUCAUUGUCGUCAGAUAGCUAGAUUUAAAAAUGGCUACUUUGUCAUGUUACAGGCGACAGCGAUGCCAGUCUGGGCUGUGUGGCCAGCCAGUGGCCCUCUAAAAUCCCUGUUCGAGUUACAACGGUUAGAUUUGCAACACGACUGUCUCUAUAUUAAUGCCAGCGGUUUCCGUCGGAAUUUGCCUCGCCUCAAAAGACACUUUGCCUGCAGAUUGGAUGGUUAUUCC
rnacentral:lncRNA from 1 species